CCUACGGGAGGCAGUAGUGGGGAAUAUUGGGCAAUGGGCGCAAGCCUGACCCAGCAACGCCGCGUGAAGGAAGAAGGCUCUCGGGUUGUAAACUUCUUUUAUCAGGGACGAAGCAAGUGACGGUACCUGAUGAAUAAGCCACGGCUAACUACGUGCCAGCAGCCGCGGUAAUACGUAGGUGGCAAGCGUUAUCCGGAUUUACUGGGUGUAAAGGGCGUGUAGGCGGGAAAGCAAGUCAGAUGUGAAAACCAUGGGCUCAACCUGUGGCCUGCAUUUGAAACUGUUUUUCUUGAGUACUGGAGAGGCAGACGGAAUUCCUAGUGUAGCGGUGAAAUGCGUAGAUAUUAGGAGGAACACCAGUGGCGAAGGCGGUCUGCUGGACAGCAACUGACGUUGAGGCUCGAAAGCGUGGGGAGCAAACAGGAUUAGAUACCCGGGUAGUC
rnacentral:rRNA from 1 species